rnacentral:ncRNA from 1 species
UUAAAAGCAAAGACGGAGAAAAGUAGGCUAUAUAGUACCUUUCAGGGAGGAAGAGUCAUGACUGAAAACUCUUCUAUGUGUGGUAGUAGCUGAAGUUCCCUCCCGAGCUUCCGGCUGAACGAAAAAGUAGGCUUGGACGGUUCUUCCCCGUUAAUUGGAAGGGGGUAUCGGAUAUCAUUCCCGUACCUUGUGGAGUGGCCAGUAAGGCUAAAAGUUGGGUGGUAACACGAGAUAAAGUUUCUCGUCCCGUCA